GACGAACGCUGGCGGCGUGCUUAACACGUGCAAGUCGAACGGAAAGGCCCUGCUUUUGUGGGGUGCUCGAGUGGCGCACGGGUGAGUAACACGUGCGUAUCCUGCCCUUGACUUUGGGAUAACUUCAGGAAACUGGGGCUAAUACCGGAUAGGAGCUCCUGCUGCAUGGUGGGGGUUGGAAAGUUUCGGCGGUUGGGGAUGGACUCGCGGCUUAUCAGCUUGUUGGUGGGGUAGUGGCUUACCAAGGCUUUGACGGGUAGCCGGCCUGAGAGGGUGACCGGCCAAAGGGCGAGUGUGAUACGGCCCAGAGUCGUACGGGAGGCAGCAGUGGGGAAUAUUGCACAAUGGGCGGAAGCCGGAUGCAGCAACGCCGCGUGCGGGAUGACGGCCUUCGGGUUGGAAACCGCUUUCGCCUGUGACGAAGCGUGAGUGACGGUAAUGGGUAAAGAAGCACCGGCUAACUACGUG
rnacentral:rRNA from 1 species